ACUUUAAUAGCUUAUUGGAGAGCAUAAUAUUGAAGAUAUUAGGGAGAUUUUCUUAAUCUUAAAGUA
rnacentral:tRNA from 1 species